rnacentral:rRNA from 1 species
AGUGAACGCUGGCGGUAGGCCUAACACAUGCAAGUCGAACGGCAGCACAGUAAGAGCUUGCUCUUACGGGUGGCGAGUGGCGGACGGGUGAGGAAUACAUCGGAAUCUACUUUUUCGUGGGGGAUAACGUAGGGAAACUUACGCUAAUACCGCAUACGACCUACGGGUGAAAGCAGGGGAUCUUCGGACCUUGCGCGAUUGAAUGAGCCGAUGUCGGAUUAGCUAGUUGGCGGGGUAAAGGCCUACCAAGGCGACGAUCCGUAGCUGGUCUGAGAGGAUGAUCAGCCACACUGGAACUGAGACACGGUCCAGACUCCUACGGGAGGAAGCAGUGGGGAAUAUUGGACAAUGGGGGCAAGCCUGAUCCAGCCAUACCGCGUGGGUGAAGAAGGCCUUCGGGUUGUAAAGCCCUUUUGUUGGGAAAGAAAAGCAGCAGGUUAAUACCCCGCUGUUCUGACGGUACCCAAAGAAUAAGCACCGGCUAACUUCGUG